UAAGCAAACUAGUUUUUCUUAUAUCAAAAUACAUCCAUACUUAUACAUAAUGCAAUUGGAUGAUAUGUCAUGAUCUUUUAGAAAUAUUGUAAAACAAAUUCAUAAAAACCUCUUUCUAUCGCUUUCAAACUUUCUCAUUUUCUUUCAAUGAAAUACAUAUUCUGCAAUUGUGGCACUUUGUAUUGUGCGUGGCACUUUGCACCAUGCAUGGCACUUUACGGCACUUUGACCCUCAAGAGGUGGCCCCCGCAUAGUCUCAAGAGGUGGCCCCCAAUGCAAAAUCUCAUAGAACAUAAAUUCCAUUUAUUAAAAUCCACUUUCUCAUUCAUAGAAAACUCAAUGCUUUUUCAUGCUUAUGCCAAUGAACAAUCACACAUACAUAUGCCAAUAUACAUAAUCACGCUCAACACAUACCAACACAUCACAUAAACACAUGGGCAGAGACAUCUAAAUCCAUAUUCGUAUAUGUAUCAAAAUAGGCUUUUCACACAAGUCAAACAUAUAUAGAAUAAGUUAAUAAUUGUCAUAUCUUGUAUUUGUUUAAGGUGUUGGAGGUGAUUGAGGCUCUUAGAGGCAUAGAGGUGUGUUAAUUCAAAUUCUUUUGUCGAGGUAAGUAACUUCAUUCCUAGUAUACUGGAUAUGUACAAGUAUUUUGAUAUUAUUAUUAUAAGUAUAAAUGUUUUUAUACUACUUAAAAGAUUAAUGGAUUUUCAUAACAAAAUUAACUUAUGAAAAUGUUUUCAAAACCUAAAUUCUUUUUAACAAAGUAUUUUAUAAAUGCUUUUAAAUAUGUAAAUUAUUUAUGACAUGACUACCUUUUAUGGUUUUAUCUAUAAAAUAAUUUGCAAGCCUAAAUUGUUGUUAUGGACAUUUAUGAAAUUGAUACGAAUGUUUUUGUGCUUAUGAAUGUUUUUGUCCUUAUGAAUAUUUUCAAUUAUUUAUGAUUGUACGGGGGCCACCUCUUGGGACUAUAUGGGGGCCACCUCUUGGGACUAUAUGGGGACCACCUCUUGAAGGCUAAAGCAUCGCAAAGUGCCACAUACAGUGCAAAGUGCCACGUAUAAGUCAUUAUGUUUUGGCUCAUUGUCCGUAGUUAUUCUGAUUAUGAUUCUGAUCGUAUAAUACGAUAUAUGUUUGUUCUGGACCAGUACUGGGUUUUUGUUAUGAGUGUGCAUAUGAUAUUCUGAUUCUGUUUCUGGCCGGGUCACCGGUACUAUAGGUGACACUAUGUGACAUGAGCUAACCUUUUGUUUUCUGUGAAUGUGAUAUAUGAUUUGCUUUCGUAAGUAACUAUGCUUUUGAUAUUCUGAAUUACAAUGAAUUUAUGUUAUUUUAUCAUGAUAUAUCGUUUUAUGAAAUUUAUGGAUUAUGAUAUAUGUUUUAAUUAAAGGAAGGCUUGCAAUAUUUUUGGUAUCGAUAGGCUUAGUGAGUUAGGAAUGGUUUUACUUACCGAGUUGACGGCUCACCCCUCGUCAUUACUUUUUGUAGAUUAAGUUCCAUUUGAGAGGUGUGCUUAGCUUUGGAGUUAGAGAUUUUGUUUAUGUUUGCUGUUUGAAUAAGAAGAGGAAUAGACUCACGUUUUUUUUUAGUUUAUUUCUGUUAUGAACUUGUAAUUUGGAGUUUGAGACUUUUGUUAUUGCUAUGUUUCGGGAGAGAUUAUUUAGUGUUAGACGUAUGAAUUUGUGGAUUUAUUUGAAUAAGAAUUUGAGGUAUUUUCAGUUUGGAAUUUAUGAGUAAGGAUUACGAUUUGUAAGUAACCUCCUUCUUUACGUGCUCCGCACGUGUUAGAUUUGUAACACCCCAGCCCGAACGCCGAGGGCAAAUCCGACCACAACUCACAUGUGAAUUUAAAUAACCCUUUACAAAUCUUCUCACUCAUUAUGAAUCAUUCCUGACUUCUGGAAACCAAAUCAUAAUAAACUAUAAUGAGUAUAAAACUCAGUAAGCAAACUAGUUUUUCUUAUAUCAAAAUACAUCCAUACUUAUACAUAAUGCAAUUGGAUGAUAUGUCAUGAUCUUUUAGAAAUAUUGUAAAACAAAUUCAUAAAAACCUCUUUCUAUCGCUUUCAAACUUUCUCAUUUUCUUUCAAUGAAAUACAUAUUCUGCAAUUGUGGCACUUUGUAUUGUGCGUGGCACUUUGCACCAUGCAUGGCACUUUACGGCACUUUGACCCUCAAGAGGUGGCCCCCGCAUAGUCUCAAGAGGUGGCCCCCAAUGCAAAAUCUCAUAGAACAUAAAUUCCAUUUAUUAAAAUCCACUUUCUCAUUCAUAGAAAACUCAAUGCUUUUUCAUGCUUAUGCCAAUGAACAAUCACACAUACAUAUGCCAAUAUACAUAAUCACGCUCAACACAUACCAACACAUCACAUAAACACAUGGGCAGAGACAUCUAAAUCCAUAUUCGUAUAUGUAUCAAAAUAGGCUUUUCACACAAGUCAAACAUAUAUAUUGUUUAUUGUGAUUCGUUUUAAAGUCUAGUUUACUUAC
rnacentral:lncRNA from 1 species